rnacentral:rRNA from 1 species
UACAGAGGUCUCAAGCGUUGUUCGGAUUCAUUGGGCGUAAAGGGGGCGUAGGCGGCGCGGUAAGUCGGGUGUGAAAUCUCGGAGCUUAACUCCGAAACUGCAUUCGAUACUGCCGUGCUUGAGGACUGGAGAGGAGACUGGAAUUUACGGUGUAGCGGUGAAAUGCGUAGAUAUCGUAAGGAAGACCAGUGGCGAAGGCAGCUCGCUGGGACGUGACUGACGCUGAGACGCGAAAGCGUGGGGAGCAAACAGG